ACCACAACGGGUGGAGCCUGCGGUUUAAUUGGACUCAACGCCGGGCAGCUCACCGGAUAAGACAGCUGGAUGAUAGCCGGGCUGAAGACUCUGCUUGACUAGCUGAGAGGAGGUGCAUGGCCGUCGUCAGUUCGUACUGCGAAGCAUCCUGUUAAGUCAGGCAACGAGCGAGACCCACGCCAACAGUUGCCAGCAUGGUCUUCGGACUGAUGGGGACACUGUUGGGACCGCCUCUGCUAAAGGGGAGGAAGGAAUGGGCAACGGUAGGUCAGCAUGCCCCGAAUUAUCCGGGCUACACGCGGGCUACAAUGGAUGGGACAAUGGGUUUCGACACCGAAAGGUGAAGGUAAUCUCCUAACCCCACCCUUAGUUCGGAUUGCGGGCUGCAACUCGCCCGCAUGAAGCUGGAAUCCGUAGUAAUCGCGUCUCAAGAUGGCGCGGUGAAUAUGUCCCUGCUCCUU
rnacentral:rRNA from 1 species